AAGAAUCUUCUGGGCAGAUUUCCCAGCUUCAUCCACAGAGAUUCUGGUUCAGCAGGUGAGAGGGGUUGGGGAUGGAACACAGCAAUCUCCAUUUUCAUAAGCAUGCCACUCUCAUUCUACCUAUCUCUCCUUCAAAAUAUUUUAUGCACACAAUUACUUCCUCAUGAUGAUUUGUUUAGACAAGCCUCAGGAAAGUAUUUGUUUCAAUGGAGUAUCUGACACCUAGAAAGCCCUCAGUAAGUGUUUUCAGUUAACUCUCCUAACAGACCUAGAUUCAAGGAUUUAGACAGAAGGGUGGAGGGUUUCUGUAUUGAGGUCACCUGGAGAGACUAAGGUAAUGAACUAGCCUCAGUCUCUGCCUAGAUGUCACCAGGUGGUGAUACUCUUUUGUUACGUUUUACCUUUAUUUCAUCAUAAUAAGAGUUUAUUUUUUACAAACCCAGGCAUGUCUUACCUACUAAAGCGAGUAAGGAGAUGAGGGAAGUUUCCUCACUUUUCUUAGACACCCUUGUUCUUUGGUGGGAGCUUGGACCAGCCUUGGCCAGUGGUAUGCGAAUUUUCUCUUCCUUACUAAGGAGACUGUGGAGAUGGAAACAUUAACUGAUCUGAGUCAGGGGAAGCAAGGGAAGCCGACAGAAUAGAGUCUCAAGUGAUGUGGACCCAGUUUCUUGCUGGAAUUUGCAAAGCCGAUUUAAGCAUGAUCUUAGUUGUCAGAAGAUUGCCUUUAAAAUAUAAAAAUUAAAGAAGACAGCCUCUGCAAAUGCAAAUUUUGAAGAACUUGGAAUCUUUUUCAUUUCAAAUAUAAUAUUAACCACAGAGCUCCUCUAGCUGGAUAUCACAGAGUGCACAACCUAAAGGAAAUCAAAACAAUAAAAACAGCCUCUCUACCUUGCUGGUGUUUGGUGAUAUCUUUGCCCUACACUGUCUCCCGCAUGUCACUGUUUAGAAGAACAGCAGUGUGCACGAGAGACCUAAAUCACAAUGACUAGCUAAGAAGCAAGGACUGGAUUUUAGCCGAUGCAAUGUGAGGACUUGCAAUAUGGAAAUGAUGCUUCCAAAACUUUUCAGGGUUGUUUGCCGCACUGUUAGGGGCAAAAAAAAAGUUUAUGUGAGGGAAAAAAAAAUGGUAAGAAUGCCUGAAUGUCACAUAGGGUUUAAGACAAAAAUGCAAAGCAGUUCACAGGGAGGGUUAAAGGCAUAAGGAAAGCCUUUGACUUGAGGUGGCCCACACACCUGUGGGAUUCAGGGGUCUGGGCUUCCAGAAGGAUGACGUGGUGGGCUUCAGCACUUGUUGGACUAUUGGCAGAGCUUUUACAUUUCUGCAAUUUCCCUCCAGUACCUCUGAAGAUGUCUUGGCAAGAUAGCAUUUCCAUAUAAAUGCCUCAAAUAGAACUAAAUUUUAACAGAGAGCGGUACUGUAGAAAGGGUUGCAAGUGAAUAAGAAUGAGGAAGAAAUCACAUUAGACAUUUAUUCAGUUUCACAUACCCAUCGUUCCACCAUACUUACAAUGCUCUACUUAGUCACAGAGGAAAUGAACUGCAAUUUUAAAGAGAUUAUUAAAUACACAUGCACACCCAUGCAAUAUAAACAGCAUGCUUAACUAUCCAAAAUGAAAUUUGUUUUCAAUAAUUCAAGCAUUUUCACUUAUAAAGGAAAUAUCAAGAUUAAGCCAGUAGAAGCUUUUUCAUGAUAAAUCAUGAAAGGAAUGAUUUAUCAGGAGUGCAUUGUACAUAAGCAAUCUGUAUGGAAUAUUUUUGAGAAUUUCAGCCUAACACAGACAUAGUAGUUUUAAUGACUACUUUUUAAAGUCCUGAGUAUUUUUGCCAAAGUGUCCCUAUAAUCCAGUUUUAACUUGCUCACAAUUAAACUUUUCAGUUUACAUAAAAGAUCAUUUAUAGCUUGCAGUCUAUUCUAUCUUGCUGAACUAUAGGCAUAGAGCAGUUUCACUCCCUGACUUUAGCCCUCAAAUUCUAAGGACAAAAAGAGAUAGCAGGGAAAUUUAUAGAAUAAUGAAUUUCCAUUAUUAGCAGGGUAACAUGGGGAGAUUUGAAAUGUUCCACCACCUAACAAAACUUCAACCCCUUUUCACCCCAUAGUGUUUGAAAUAUACAAUUAAAGACAAAAUUUUUAAAAACAUUGUUGGCCUCCAAGGACCCUCUUCUACAAUGGCACUCCCUUGGGGGUAUAGGGCAGGCCUCCAUUCCCAAGGCUGGGAGAUGAGAAUACACGUUUGGGCCAUCCUUUCUUGGUGGUCCAGACAUGACCAAGGACUCUGGGAAGGGCCUGUGAUGACUGGUGAGGCUUAGGGAUCUUCUGCAGUGGGACAGCAGAGGCAAGUCACUGCAAGGGAAAGGGGGCUCCAAAUCCAUCCAGGCACGGGGCUACCUUAUAGUUUUACCCAAGACUAGCCUUGAUCUCUGCAGCCUCUAAACUGUUGUGAAUAGUGUGAGGAGGCUGGGGGGACGGUGGUGGGAGUUGGAGGAAGGGAAGGUUUGCUGAGGUUUUCAUGAAUUGAUGUUUAGCAUUCUGUGGGGAAAAAAAAAUGAGGGCUUAUUCCAAUGCCCACUUAACUGAAACUGCUUGAUGUAAGGAGUCUAAGCGCUGGAGGCUAAGCAAUGAAUUCCCUAGUCAACUAGAGAACAAGAUGGGGUUGACAGGUUCUGCACUUUGUAUCUCUAACUCCAUAGACAAGGCUGAUCCUGGGAAUAAAGUAAGAAGUAAGUUCCAGAGACCCCAGUCUUGGAGUUCUGGGACUACACCUAGAGAGUGGGGAUGUGGUUGGGGAUGUGAGCUGGUCCAACAGAAU